rnacentral:piRNA from 1 species
UGGCCAAUGCUAUGAAGUACUACGACUGGU